AUCAUACCUGUUAAUUUGUUGGAUUUGCCUUUUUCUUGGUGAAUAUUGUUAUGCAAGAUUCAGGGCAAGAUCUCGGUUCAGUUCCACUUCCUUCAGCUACUAUGAAUCCUCCUCCGGUUUGGACAGCGCAGUAAUAUUUGGUAUAAUUUUUGGUUCUAUCAUGGGCUGUUGCAUAUUGGUUUCUAUCAUCAAAUCCUGCUGCUGUGGCAGGGAAGCGGAUUAAGAUAUUUGUUUCACAGUAAAACACUGCAACCCAGCAACAGACCA